AUUGAACGCUGGCGGCAGGCCUAACACAUGCAAGUCGAACGAGUGGCGGACGGGUGAGUAAUGUCUGGGAAACUGCCUGAUGGAGGGGUCUAACUACUGGAACCGGUCGCUAAUACCGCAUACCAUCAUAUGUGCCCCGAUGGGAUUAGCUUGUUGGUGUGGUAACGGCUCACCAAGGCGACGAUCCCUAGCUGGUCUGAGAGGAUGACCAGCCACACUGGAACUGAGACACGGCCCAGACUCCUACGGGAGGCAGCAGUGGGGAAUAUUGCACAAUGGGCGAAAGCCUGAUGCAGCCAUGCCGCGUGUAUGAAGAAGGCCUUCGGGUUGUAAAGUACUGUCAGCGGGGAGGCGUUACCCGAAGAAGAAGCACCGGCUAACUCCGUGCCAGCAGCCGCGGUAAUUC
rnacentral:rRNA from 1 species